rnacentral:rRNA from 1 species
GAUGAACGCUAGCGGCAGGCUUAAUACAUGCAAGUCGAGGGGCAGCAGGGGUGUAGCAAUACACUCGCUGGCGACCGGCAAACGGGUGCGGAACACGUACGCAACUUACCCAUAACUGGGGAAUAGCCCGGGGAAACCCGGAUUAAUACCUCGUAACAUAUUGAGAGGGCAUCUUCUUAAUAUUAUAGCUCCGGCGGUUAUGGAUGGGCGUGCGCCUGAUUAGGUAGUUGGCGGGGUAACGGCCCACCAAGCCUGCGAUCAGUAACUGGUGUGAGAGCACGGCCAGUCACACGGGC